rnacentral:sRNA from 1 species
UCCGUCUGCCGCUGUCUCCUGAGUGCUGGGACUAAAGCUAAGUGAAAUCCACUCACCCCAUCAGAGGAGUAAGCCAACCACAAAACAAACCUAUUAAAAGGCCACUCAAGUCUGCCUUAAGUGAGCCAAAGCGGGGAAGCCUGCACGCAAGUGCUUUCAAGGAGAGAUGCUUUGCAUUUCGACGCUGAGAACCUUGUGUCUGAGUCUACACUGGAGAGCCCUGUCGGGAGAGGGCCUGGAAGAGACAGGGUGAGGUGGAGCCGAAACUGAGUCCUGGCUGUUGUGGAAUGCACACCCAGCAUGGUCUUGGAGCAACGAGGAGCUCUUGUUGGACGGAGAAAGAGACAAAUAGUUAAAUGGAAGAGCUUGGAUGUUGAGGUUGGGUUACACACGAGUUCAAACCCCAGAUUUAUUCCAGUGCAGGUCUACUGUUGGUUUAGAGUGGUGGUUAAAGCAAAGCUUUGGAGUUGAACGCGCUUGCAUUUUGGUGCCUCCUGCGACAGGUAGGAUGAGGAACGUCUAUUCGCCUUACAGCCGUUCUGUCACAGUGGCUUCAAGAAAGGAGAAGUGAUGCUAGCAUUUCAGGAAGGAGGAGAGCUAGGAAGGUUCUGAUCGCACUGUGGAGAGUGAGAGAAGCCCUUUCAGCAUGGCAGUGGGAAGGUGCCGGACGUGGAGAGAGGGGGCCAUGAGAGUUGGUAAGAAGAACGGGCAGCAGACACAGCAGCCUGGCUCACCAGCAGGCUUCAACUUCAGAGGGAAGGCUAGGAGUCAGUUCGGCUGUUGUGGUUGGGGUUGGGGAUGCUUAGAGGAGCAGUUGUAUGUCUUCCUGCAUGAGGAAUCCCAGGAGGAGGCUGUCCCGUAGAUGUGUGCAGUGGGCCCAUCUGACAUCUACCUUGCUGUAUGCUUGUCUGUAAGGGCCUGAAGCUGGACUAUUCUUCCCUUGCUGGGGCCCAGUCUGACUCAGAAGCCCUUGAGAGACCCAUUGGGGAAAUGCAGAAGGCCACUGAGCACUUAGACCAGUGGGUAUACCAUGGGUUCUAUGGAAGGGGGAGUGACAUUCAGUAGUUGGGGAGAAAACUGAUCCCACACAUCACAAGGGGCUUUGUGUACUGAGACAGAGGAUGAGAAGGGUAGAGCAGCCGCAGGCUGUAGAUAACCUAGGGCCUCUCUAGGCCCAGAAUGAGCCCACCAGACCAGAAACAGACAACACGCUUCUCCACAGCUGGAGUUCAUCCCAGACCUACAAGCUUAGAGCCUCUCACCAAGAACAGAAGGAAUCCAGAGGACAGGACAAGGACCAGGCUUCCCAAAGCAAGAGAGACAGAACAAGGCAAAGGAAUGGUUCUGACUGAAUGUUGUACCUUGCGUUAUUUGAAGAGCUGUUCAAAAUAAGCCAAGAUAACCAGGAAAAAUAGAAAACACAAACGACUUAUUUUGCUUCCUUGCUUGCUUUUUAAAGACAGGGUUUCUUUGGGUAACAGCCCUGGCUAGCCUCAAACUCACAGAAAUCUGUCUGGCUCUGCUUCUCAAGUGCAGGGAUCAAUGGCAUGGACCACCAUGCUCAGCCAAAAAUGACACUUUUGUCUGCCUCCUGCCUUCCCCCAAAUCAGGAUCUUUUUGACUCAAUCAGUGUUUGUUUCUGCUCUUCAAGAGGAUUUGGGAUGCUAGGGGCUAAAAUGACAAGUUAUAGGAAAUGAACCACUGACACUCCCAUCUCAGAGAUCACAGCCCACCUGGAGAUGAGCUUUGUCAAUGUAGGUUCUAACUGUACUUCUCUGGGCCUUUUACAAACAAAGGGCUAUCUUAUCGCACUGCAGGGGAGUUAUUGUGAGGAAAUGACAUGUGCUAAGCACUGGGGACAGUGCCCAACAUGCCACUAUGCCCAGAAUGUCAAUCCUUAGCUCCCUCCAGCUUCCUGGUCUGCAAUGUCCCUGUCACAAAUAGGUAUGCUGAGAGGGGGAAUUGCCCUUUCUUAUUUCCGUUGCCUCUCUGAAGAAUGAGUCUAUUUCUCCUUGUCUACAGCAAGGAAACCCAGCCCUCAUUCACUCCCAUAACAAUGGCUGCUGAGAUUCCGCCCAGAAUAGGGUGCUCAGGGUUCCAAGAUGAGACACUUGGAUACUAUUUAUCACUCUCAAAGAGCUCAGUCCUGGAGGACAGUUGUCUUGUUUCUUUGUAACAGAUGAGUAACAGAGGUGCCAGCUGCCUGGGGGCAGGUAUAGCACAAACACAGCUCCCUUCUAACUAGACUUAGAAGACAGAGGUGCAUCCCACCAAGCCAGGCCAGUGAAGUAGAUCUGAGGAAAAGAGACUGACUUGGGUGUGGAGAGGUGGUGGAGGAUGGUCCAAGCAGUCCACGGCCAGAGCAACAGAACAGUGGAGAUGGCCUGUAACAAAAUCAGAGAAGGCAAGAGAAAGACAGGAGUGUGUGGUGUGUGUGUGUGUGUGUGUGUAACCUGAGGAGCUGAGUGUAGGCCUGUUACAAUGACUCCAUAAUGUUCCAGACUUCUAACAUGUUGUGAAAGUUAAAGGAAAUAGUUGACAUAAACCAAGUGCCUCCCCCGAGACCACUGCCCCAUGGAUAGUCUAUACCACUGCCCCAUGGAUAGUCUAUACCACAUGAACAUACUGGCACUAAGUAUUCAUCAAGGAGGUAAUGUGAGUUCAGGGAGGUUAGCGAUGUGUCCAGGUUUACACAGCUAAAAAUAACCAACUCAGAGUCACAUUUGGGUUUGCCUGUUCCACAGCCAGGGCUCUGAGAAAAGGCCCGCAGGUCUUCCCUGUUCUACCUGUUUGCUUGUGAACACGCCUUUCUCCCCAGCUCCUGGGUUUAAGGUGUAUCACGUUCUGUUACCAGUGAAGUAGCACAAAGGUGGAGUGUGUGCACUCUGCAAAUCAGACUCAACAGGAAACUGCUUCUCUAUCAGGGUCAAGGCAAACUGCCCAAAAGAGAUGGGUCCGGGGUUGGGGAUUUAGCUCAGUGGUAGAGCGCUUGCCUAGCAAUCGCAAGGCCCUGGGUUCGGUCCCCAGCUCCGGAAAAAAAAAAAAGAGAUGGGUCCUCUCCUCCUGCUGGUGGAUUAGUGACUAUCGGGUUAAUCUUGUUAUCCAGAGGGAAGAACAGGGUCAGGGCCCAAGAUUCAGCUUUAAAAGGCACCAGUCAAAAUGUAGGAAGCCCCGGGGAGGCUCAUUUCCCAUGUGUCCUUGCUGUUUAAGCCUGGGAGAUUAUAUUUAAUGAGUCACGGAAUACAGUGACAAAUGUUUACCUGGCAUAGAGAGUCUCAGAGGGAAGGGUCCAAAUGUCUACUUCCUCAGCUGGGGCUGAGACCUAGGAUGCCUUGGGAUUUGUACUACAAAUCAGGUCGAGGAACUCAGUCUGAGCAUGUAAGCCCAAGGGUCUGAUUGGGUGUAAAGUACUCUGUUUACCUGAAGUCAAGGCUCAGAGAGACAUGCCAACCCAUCCAAGUUCACAUAGACCAGGAAAGGCAGAACCAAGAUGGGGGCCAAGGAUUGGACCACUUGGUUUCACUAUGGAGCUGCUCUAAGGAGCAUAAACUUACCUGAUCGAAGGGCUAAAACUGUCCACUUUCUCAAUGACCUGUGACUGGUUUUGCUAGAAUGAUAGAAUUUUUACAACUAAAGCUGACAGUUCAGAUCAUCUGGUCUGCUGGUUGCAUUUUAUAGGUAAGAACAUGGAGCCUCUGCAUAGAAAAAUGGCUUGCUUAAGGCUAGAACAAUCUUAGUUAUGGAGUCCGUUAGGUCACAUGAUCAGCACUGAAUGAUCUUUUCAUUAAUGUCUGAUAAGUAUGCACCAUUUGACUAUAGUGUGUGUGUGUGUACACAUAUAUGAAUAUAUAUAUUGAGCAUACAUACUGUGCAAGUAUGUAUAUACACUUGCAUAUAUUAUAUAUUCAUAAUGUGUCUAUGUAAUUGACCAUGAUGGUCUCCAUCACCCCCAGCCUCCAGCAUUACCUCCCAGCAGUAUCCUUACCUUUGAAUAAGCAAACUGUCCCGGUCAGAAUAUCUGGAAGCUGGUAGUUUAUACAGAAAAGGCGUUUAUUCUGGGUCACAGUCCCGGAGGUUGCCAAGUCCAAGAGCACAGUGGUUGGUAUGGGUUUGGCUUCUGGCCGUGGUGAGAAGCAGAAGGGCAAGCCGGCUGGUGGCAAAAGAGGCAAAACAUGAGAGGCAGCGUCACUGUAGCUCUUGUACUGUUCCAGGCCUGCAAGGGCAGGAAGUCAUUGUGAGAAGGCUCCAUGCUCCAAGCUCCCUCACAGUACCCACCUCCAACACCAGCACCUGGAAGAGUCAAGGAUCGAAUCCAUGAACUUUGGGGGCUCUGGGAGUUGGGACCAUGCUCAAACAACAGCACCAUCUUUCUAUUUUUACAAAAGAGAUAUAAAUGUGGCCUAAUUUUAAAGCAGCCAAUAAAAGAUUCCUCAAACA